UACGAAGGGGGCUAGCGUUGCUCGGAAUCACUGGGCGUCAAGGGCGCGUAGGCGGCCAUUCAAGUCGGAGGUGAAAGCCCAGGGCUCAACCCUGGAAUUGCCUUCGAUACUGUUUGGCUAGAGACCGGAAGAGGUAAGUGGAACUGCGAGUGUAGAGGUGAAAUUCGUAGAUAUUCGCAAGAACACCAGUGGCGAAGGCGGCUUACUGGUCCGGUUCUGACGCUGAGGCGCGAAAGCGUGGGGAGCAAACAGG
rnacentral:rRNA from 1 species